UACGUAGGGCGCAAGCGUUAUCCGGAAUUAUUGGGCGUAAAGAGCUCGUAGGCGGUUCGUCGCGUCGGCUGUGAAAUCCCGAGGCUCAACCUCGGGUCUGCAGUCGAUACGGGCGGACUGGAGUACUGCAGGGGAGACUGGAAUUCCUGGUGUAGCGGUGAAAUGCGCAGAUAUCAGGAGGAACACCGGUGGCGAAGGCGGGUCUCUGGGCAGUUGACUGACGCUGGAGGAGCGAAAGCGUGGGGAGCGAACAGG
rnacentral:rRNA from 1 species